rnacentral:rRNA from 1 species
CCUACGGGUGGCAGCAGUGGGGAAUAUUGGUCAAUGGAGGCAACUCUGACCCAGCAACGCCGCGUGAAUGAUGAAGGUCUUCGGAUUGUAAAGUUUUUUUUUUAGGGAAGAAGAAAGUGAUGGUACCUUAGGAAUAAGUCUCGGCUAACUACGUGGCAGCAGCAGCGGUAAUACGGAGGAGGCAAGCGUUAUCAGGAAUGACUGGGUGUAAAGGGUGCGUAGGUGGUUGGACAGGUUAGUAGCGCAACUCCGGAGCUCAACUUCGGAACUACUACUAAAACUGUUGGACUUGAGUGCAGGAGAGGCAAGCGGAAUUCGUGGUGUAGCGGUGGAAUGCGUAGAUAUUAGGAAGAACGCCGAUUGCGAAGGCGGAUUGCUAGACUGUAACUGACGCUGGGGCACGAAAGCGUGGGGAGCAAACAGGAUUAGAUACCCCGGUAGUC